rnacentral:rRNA from 1 species
AUUGAACGCUGGCGGCAGGCCUCACACAUGCAAGUCGAACGAGUGGCGGACGGGUGAGUAAUGUCUGGGAAACUGCCUGAUGGAGGGGGAUAACUACUGGAAAAGGUAGCUAAUACCGCAUACCAUCGGAUGUGCCCAGAUGGGAUUAGCUAGUAGGUGGGGUAACGGCUCACCUAGGCGGCGAUCCCUAGCUGUUCUGAGAGGAUGAGCAGCCACACUGGAACUGAGACACGGCCCAGACUCCUACGGGAGGCAGCAGUGGGGAAUAUUGCACAACGGGCGCAAGUCUGAUGCAGCCAUGCCGCGUGUAGGAAGAAGGCCUUCGGGUUGUAAAGUACUUUCAGCGGGGAGGCGUUACCCGCAGAAGAAGCACCGGCUAACUCCGUGCCAGCAGCCGCGGUAAUAC